rnacentral:rRNA from 1 species
UUAGUUGGUGGAGUGAUUUGUCUGGUUAAUUCCGUUAACGAACGAGACCUCGACCUACUAAAUAGUUCGACGAACCCUUCUGGGUUCGGACGGCACUUCUUAGAGGGACUAUCGGUGUGUAGCCGAUGGAAGUUCGAGGCAAUAACAGG